CACUAUGCCUAGCCCUAAACCCAAAUAGUUACAUAACAAAACUAUUCGCCAGAGUACUACUCGCAACUGCCUAAAACUCAAAGGACUUGGCGGUGCUUCACAUCCACCUAGAGGAGCCUGUUCUAUAAUCGAUAAACCCCGAUAGACCUUACCAACCCUUGCCAAUUCAGCCUAUAUACCGCCAUCUUCAGCAAACCCUAAAAAGGAACAAUAGUAAGCACAAUCAUAGCACAUAAAAACGUUAGGUCAAGGUGUAGCUUAUGGGUUGGAAAGAAAUGGGCUACAUUUUCUACAUAAGAAUAUCCACCACACGAAAGUUUUUAUGAAACUAAAAACCAAAGGAGGAUUUAGCAGUAAAUCAAGAAUAGAGUGCUUGAUUGAAUAAGGCCAUGAAGCACGC
rnacentral:rRNA from 1 species